GACGAACGCUGGCGGCGUGCUUAACACAUGCAAGUCGAACGGGACAUUUUAUUUCGGUAAGAUGUCAAGUGGCGAACGGGUGAGUAACACGUGGGCAACCUGCCCUUCAGACGGGGACAACAUUCCGAAAGGAGUGCUAAUACCGGAUACGCCCGCACCUACGCAUGUAGGUGCGGGGAAAGGAUGGCCUCUAUUUAUAAGCUAUCGCUGAAGGAUGGGCCUGCGUCCGAUUAGCUAGUUGGUGAGGUAACGGCCCACCAAGGCGAUGAUCGGUAGCCGGUCUGAGAGGAUGAACGGCCACAUUGGGACUGAGACACGGCCCAGACUCCUACGGGAGGCAGCAGUGGGGAAUCUUCCACAAUGGACGAAAGUCUGAUGGAGCAACGCCGCGUGAGCGAUGAAGGAUUCGGUCUGUAAAACUCUGUUGUUCAUGACGAACGUCUCUGAGGUGAAUAAUCUCAGGGAGUGACGGUAGUGAACGAGGAAGCACGGCUAAC
rnacentral:rRNA from 1 species